CAUAUAUAUAAGGAUAGUUUCAUAAAAAAUAAUAAAGUUAUCAAUAUAUAUUUCUGAUUAAAUAUAUCAAUUAUGCAAUCAUUGGUUGUAUAAUUUUAUCAUGAAAUUAUAAAUUAUAUAAAAUAAUUUACAUCAGUUAAUAAAUAAAUAAAGUGUUAAAAAUAAUUAAAAAAACUAAAUUAAAAAAUAAUCAAUAAUAUAGAUAUCCAUAUUAUGAGUUUUAUUAGACAUAAAUAUAAGUUAAUUCAGAUAUUCAUUUCCAUUUUUCUUCCCUAGGGCUAUCGAAUCAACUCGAUGAUGGCUUGGGCUCCUACUAGGCCGCUAGAUCCACUCAACCAUGGCUCAUGCUGUAGGUAUUGGAUUUGAGCCUGCUUACUUGGCACAAAAAUCAUAGCAAAGUAUUAUUCACUGAUACUGUUGAAUGACUGAUAGAUUCGGCAGAUAAACUCAAAUGAACAGGCUUAGCCUCUGACAACGACUGGGAGGUAUUGGAAGGGAAGUUAGCAGCCAGUGGCGGACCCAGGAAUUGACCAAGACUAGGGCCAAAUCUUGGUGGUCAAAAUCCAAAAGCUACAACCUACGGUAUAGUUUAUAGGACCAUAUAUAUACACACACGUAUAUCACAAAAAAAACUCUCAAGCAAAGUUUGCAAAUUUAGAUAAAUUCUCAAACUAAAUAAUUAAUAGUACGAUACAAUAGCCAUGAAAUAUCAAUGAACAUUAAAAAAUAAAUACCUAUUGUC
rnacentral:lncRNA from 1 species